rnacentral:lncRNA from 1 species
AUCCAAUUAUAAAGAAGAGAGACAAAAUGUGGAAUGAAAGUUACUUUUAAAUCCAACUAAAAAUUAGACAAUAAAUGACACAAUUUUAGCAGCUAAUAGAUGUUGUCACUAAAAGUCAAAAGGUCACUAACUAAAUAUACAACAAAUAAAGGAAGCAACUUGUCCAUUUCAUGCACAACCUGUCCAUUUCUUUACUUAGAAAAAACAAUUUAUUUAACUUUUAUAUCGACAAAAAGAAAUACAUAAAAAGCUGAAAAUAAAAUUGUUCAUCUUUAUGUA